GCCCCUGUAGCUCAAUGGCAGAGCACGCGUUUUGUAAACGCUAGACCUCGGUUCGAUUCCGGGCAGGGGCU
rnacentral:tRNA from 1 species